rnacentral:rRNA from 1 species
GACGAACGCUGGCGGCGUGCUUAACACAUGCAAGUCGAACGGAAAGGCCCUGCUUUUGUGGGGUGCUCGAGUGGCGAACGGGUGAGUAACACGUGAGUAACCUGCCCUUGACUUUGGGAUAACUUCAGGAAACUGGGGCUAAUACCGGAUAGGAGCUCCUGCUGCAUGGUGGGGGUUGGAAAGUUUCGGCGGUUGGGGAUGGACUCGCGGCUUAUCAGCUUGUUGGUGGGGUAGUGGCUUACCAAGGCUUUGACGGGUAGCCGGCCUGAGAGGGUGACCGGCCACAGUGGGACUGGGAGUCAGCCCAGACUCCUACGGGAGGCAGCAGUGGGGAAUGUUGCACAAUGGGCGGAAGCCUGAUGCAGCAACGCCGCGUGCGGGAUGACGGCCUUCGGGUUGUAAACCGCUUUCGCCUGUGACGAAGCGUGAGUGACGGUAAUGGGUAAAGAAGCACCGGCUAACUACGUG